CUCAGGUGCCAAUCUUUAAAAAAAAAGAGUUGAAAAAUCAAAGGAAGAAUAUGGUCACGUGUCACUUAAUGACGGGGACACGUUCUGAGAGACGCAUCCUUAGGUGAUUUCAUCAUCGUAUGAACAUCACAGGGUGACUUACACAGACCUGGAUGGUACAGCCCACUACACGCCAGGCUUUAUGGUGCUAAUCUUAUAGGACUGUCGUCCUGUAGUAUACACGGUCUGUCAUUGACUGAAACGUCGUGUGCUGCAUGACUACUUCAUGACAGGAGUUUAUAUGAAAUUCACAUUUCCAUGUCCAUAAGUAAAGUGGUGUCCAAACACAGCCACACCCAUUUCUCACUGGCUGCUUUGGUGCAGAUUUGAGGGCAGAUUUGAAUAGUUGUGAUAAAUAAAUGACAAGCAAUGGGAUAUAUUGGAGUAUCUGAAGAAGCUACUUGGUGUAAAACUAAUCCGGCCUGACCUCGUUUUUCCAAAAGGACCUGAUGUGGCCUGUCGGGCAUGUAUUGGAUAUCUACUUUAAAUAUUUACUGCAUCCCAAAUACAAGAAUGAUGCCCCUAAAGAUAGGGAUGUAACGUCCCCCUUUCCUUAGGACAAGCAUCUCUCCCUAAACUAAGGAUUAAUUACUGACCUGCUGUGCUCACCUUGUGACCCCUCUCCUCAAGACCACAGACCUGCUCUGUUCACCGAAUUGCUGUGCCGACAAAGCAAUCUCGUGACUAUUGUAAAAGGGACAUUCCGAUCACGGGUGAUGCAUGCUCUCUGAUGGUGUAUAACCACCCUGUACACCCCACUUCUUUGGAGUGCUCUGUUCCUUUGGGAAAAGACUCUCCUGGGCUAUGUGGUCUUCAGAUCUGAGUCAUGAUAAACUCACCCCAAUUUUGAUUUAUAGAUUGGUUAUGGAUUAUUUGCAUCAACAGUUGCAAAAGAGACCACGUGGCCCACAAAGCCUAAAAUGCUUGCAAGAGUUUAUAUGGUUUCAGAAACGCAGAGGUGGCAAUUUCAAAGUGAUUACCAAGCCAAUGUGUUCAAAUAAGAAAACAAGUCAGAGACACAGGCUGCUCUGGUUUCAUUUUCACAACUUGCAACAUGUUUUAAAGUCUUAGCAGUUUUACCAGACCUCUGUGUUCAACUUGUUCUUCCAAAGACAGUGAACAGAACAAACUGGUAACACUUUGGAAUAUCUGCCAAAGUCCCUAUUGCACAGAAAAACAAGUUUGAUAUUCUAGUGAAUGUUAUCAAGUUAACGCCCCAUUAAAUCAGAUCUUUUCUAACAAGUGUUAACUGUAAAGAGGUCUGCCCCGGGGAGAGAACGUCUCCCUCCUCUCUUUCUCAGACUUUCUGUUCAUUAUGAAGACUUGCUUUUUUUUUUUUUUUAGGUCAGGCUCUGGAAUUUCAUGACUUAGCAUUAAAAGCAUAACAAGGCCAGUAGAGAUCAAUUUUAAUAGCAGUGACAAGAGGUUUACACAUAUUGAGGUAUAUGGGGUAACUAUUUGGGUUCAAAAGUGAUUCAGCUUGAACUAGAAAGCCUGGCUUAUAGCUUAUCAAACACAUAUUGUGUAUCUGCUCAUCCAUUAAAGAAUGCCCCCUCUCAAGAUGAGAAUGCAGACUGCCACUUCUAGCGCUCUUGGUAACGCCAUAUUAGUCCCUUUCCUGACAUCGGGGUCAUGUUGACCUGCUAAUUUGCACUAAAUACCUCUUUGAAAUUUUGAUGAAAAUGUAUCCUGGAUGUGUUUAAUGUGUGUUCUUUGUCCUAAAAAGAUACAAAACUGUUCUGAAAACCAUGCUUCUCAGGAACGCUGUCUAAGGCCUUCCCAGGUUAGAAUCCUCAGUUUGGCUCGUAAUGGACUCACCUUAUUUCUCUUCUCUAUAGAUGGUUCUUGGUUAUUUUGCGUCACAGCAGACAUGGAAUAGGGGCGGGUCGGAAUGUCCUCGGUCACGGGGAGCAUGCAGCUGGGCACGCAGGGAGAAGCCUGCCUGACGGCAGUGACACAGAAACAGCAGGGCCAGAGGAGAAGGGCGGCUCCUGAGGACGUCUCUCAAGGGCAGCAUCUGGCUCUACACACAUGUGAGCCCUUACCUUCCUUCUGGUGCUGAGCCAGGUAGGGUUGAGGUUUUGUCACUUACCAUGGAAAUAGUCCUAACUGGAGGACAAAGUCCAGAGCGAGUUCACCGAAACGACCCGCAGAGGUGGUGGAUGCAAGAUGGGAUGAAGAGGAGACGGAUGGCUUCAAGGUGACCUCAGGAGUGUCAGGAUCUGAGGAAGAUGGUGUGGGCACAGAGACAGGAGCGUGCAUUCCCGCUGGGAAGACGAAGGGUCAAGUUUGGGACAUGCCGGGUUUGCGGUGAUGGAAGAUGUAGCCCAUGAAGGGAACCAGAAUAUGUCCCCCCAAAAGGUGCCUAUGACAUAAAAAUUAUUUUGAGCUGAAGGCAAUUAAGGAGCAGCAAACCCAGGAAAAUCUCCCCCUUUUCUGCCUAAAGGCAAGAUUUAAACUCUCCUUUUCCUGGAGACAGACUCUCAUCAGCCCAGGGCGAUAGAGGACUCUGCACACGGACCUUCUCCACUGCUCCCUGCGCUGCCUCUCCCUGCCCACGGUUGCCGCCCUGGAAGACCAAGACUGCCUGUCCUGUCACUCCUCUGCACAGUGUUGUUCUCUGUGGAAGGCACUCUACAGGCUGGAUUCUGGGCCUCCAUUUUGAGUUAUGUUGGUUCAGGUUCUCUGCAUGAUGUGCACUGCAUGCCACUAACAGACUGUUUUUCUCUUGUUAAUCUAGCUUUUUGUUACGGGGCCUCAGCCAAGAACUCAGAGGGUAGAGGGAAGAUUGGUUCCUCUCCUACACCCACAAACACUCCUGAGAUUCAGGGGUGAGCCUGAGCACCUGGUCCAGACCAGAGAUGUCAACCAAGGAGUCAUCAGCACAGAGCUGUAGCUGAAACUGUCAGGAUGAGCUGCCAGAAGCCCUGGAGAGCAGAGAGGGCUGAGGACUGAGUCUCAGGAAGCCUGGGUCUCACACACACGGGAGCGGGGAGAGCCAUGGAAAAGUGGCUUUCAUUAGAAAAGUGGUUGGAAGAGCAAAGAGGAUGAGGCGUCCUCUUGUCCCAAAAGGCCAGGAGGAGUGGGCAGGAGAGGCAGGGUGGGGGUUGGGGUGACAGAUCAGCAUUUGGGUGGUAGAGCUCGUGAGGCUUCCUGGAAACGUUCUAGAAAGGCCACCUCUGAAUGUGUGAAAGUGGGGAGUGAGGCAGACCUCGUACUCUCACAGACCAACAUGCGGUCAAGCCGAGACAGGCUGCCUUGAGGCCUCCAUGGACACUCCCAUUCCUGUCUGCCUCUCCCCCCCACCCCAUGAACCCCAGGCCAAUCUGGUGUGUCUGAGACGCCCGCCGAGGCUGGGCCACUUCCCUUUGUCCACGUCUCUGAGAGCGGGUCCUCCUCUGGGGUGCCAGCAGGCGGGCAGGGCCGGGAGGUCAGGUUGCUCAGGGGACCUCUGGUCGUCUUGUCCAAGGCGUCGUCCUGCCUGGUGGGCUCCACGUGCAGCUUCCCUGGGGCCAGACUUCCUAGGGUUCCUGCCUGCAGACCACAGCCCCGGUGCUCGGCCUGCGAGCUGUGCGGAGGCGGGGGUAGUGAAAUCCUGCAGGUUUGCCCUCAUCCCAUGCGGGCUCUCAGAGCGAGGACCUUUUCAGUAACAUUCUGAUUUGAUGCAGGAACACAAGAUUCUUUGCCUUCUGCUUCAAAGUCUCGCAGAACUAUUCUGUGCUCAAAUGACAUGCAAAGUCCCAGGCAGUUCACAAUGGGUCAAUUUUGGGGGAAGUCAGACCUGGGUGAGGGUGGAGAACAUUCAUUCAUUCAUUCAUUCAUUCUGUUAAGAGGUUUUCACAUGUUGAGGUAUAUGGGGUAAGUAUUUGGGUUCAAAACUGAUUCGGCUUGGACUAGAAAGCCUGGUGUAUGCCUGUCAAACACAUAUUGUCCAUCUGCUUAUCCAUUAAAGAAUGCACCCUUCUGAUAAGAAUGCAGACUUCCCCUCCUACGCCCUGUUGGUGACGUCUGGAUUAGUCCUUUCCAACAUCAGGGUCAUGUUGACCUGCUGAUUUGUGCUAAAUACCUCUUUGAAAAUGUAUCCUGGGUGUGUUCACUGUAUGUUCUUUUGUUCUAAAAAGAUGUAAGACUGUGCUGAAACCCAUGCUUCUCCGGAACGCUUUCCUCCUUUCUGGAAAAGGCCUUCCCAGGUUAUAAUCCUCACACUGACUCAAGUAAACUCACCUUGUUUCUCUUAUCUACAGAAUGGUUAUUGGUUAUUCUGCGUCGAUGUUUCAUUCGGCAGGUCUUUAUUUACCUGUUCUGGCCGAUGGUAGACCUCUGGGAUAUAGUGAUGAUGAAGAGAGACCUGAUCCUCAUCUUCAUGGAGUUUACAGCCCAACAGGAAGACAGAAAACAGUAACAAGGCAGAGGAGACAGAGAUGAACAGCAAGGGCCUACUUUCCGUAGGGCCAUCAGCAGAGGUAUCUGGGAGGAGGCGACAUUCAGGCUGCAUCGUAAAAUAUGCGCUGCUGGCGUCCAGCUUUGUUCAUCUGUGACACGUCAGCAGACCUCACAGGCUGUGGCAAGAAGCCUGGGUUUUAUUGCAAGUGCAAGAGAGAGCCCUGGAAGGUUGUAACAGAGGCGACGAGCCGUGGCUUGGAUCUAAGAUGCUCCUGGCUGCCGUGGGGAACAGUCAUCCCUGUGGGUCACUGGGCGUCGUCCUGCGGACGCCUCGCCUCACGCCCCCGUUUGUCACUGGCAUUGCGGAAGAGCUGGAGAGCCGCUAGGAUGGAGAGACUCCGAGGCUGAGAGCGCCUGAGAUGGAUGCACAGUUGCUCAAUCGGGACACCAGCCCGGCUCCGCACUGUGACUCUUGAUUCAAACAGAUCUUCCUGUUUUCCAGCGAGGUGCUGGUCCCAGGUCCUCUCCAGGCUCAGGGGACGCAGUUUCACACACGCGUUUCCUUUUACAGAGCUCCCUGGAGAAUACUGUGAAUGUGCGACUGCGUUGGGGUCUCAUAAUAAGGAGGAAAAAUUUUGCUCUUUACACUUACCACCACCGAACACUUUGUUUCUCCUUAUUUUUCCUGCCUGCUGGGCCUUCCUACUCCAGCCUUGCAGACGAAGGCAGCAGCCGCCUCCCAGGACUGGGUGUUCCGUCCCCGAUGCUUGGGGCCAGGCACAGUGUUAGCCAGGGCCGAAGACAAGCCGUCUCUUGUCCCUUCCUCUCCAGCUGUAAUCAAUAGCCUCCUGGUGGCACUGCUGGACCUGGAGACCUGACCUCGUGGUCCCGCUAAUGACUGUGCAGGAAUAAAUAAUUUAGAUUCUUAAUGAGGGUUUGAGCUAUUUCCCCAACAAACCCAACUUUCCGGCUACUGUAGGCCUCAGAGCUCAGCAGCGCGCAUCUCUGAGACUACUGCCGUUUUCACACUCUUUCCUCACAGUCAGGAAGUAUUUGGAAUUUGGUUUUCAAGAAAAGUAUCGAUCUGCUCUGAUGACGGGGCCCCUCGAGGGCACGCCUGGGAAGUGAAGUCCAUUCCGAGCGUUGCUGGGGGAAGCAAGACGGCAGACCCAGACGUGAGCCCAACUCCUGCCUGGACCUCCCCCACACACGGCAGGAGACAAACCACAAUUUAUGGUUUCUGAGCCCAUUAUGACCUCUUUCUAGGGGUUGCACCGAAAUUUGGGGAGCUUCUGCAGUGCCAAGGAGUGGGUGGCCGGGGCAGCUCGGUGUCCUCGCUGACCAGCUGCAUGUUCUCGUUUCUGUCCAGUCUUUGGUGGCUGGUGCAUGAGUCACUGCCAUGCCGGCCCCAUGUCCCCAGGUCUCCAGCUCUGUGCUGUGCCUCACUCAGUUUGUUCACGACGUUUCACUGCUCUGUGCCAUCUCGGCGACAAGACCUCCAUCCCCAGGGCCUCUGGGGCCCGGGGACCACAGCCUGACCCUCUGCCGCAGCUUGUGACACUGAGCAACUCAGCCCCUGUGCCUGCAUCAAAGACUGCCAACUGGAGCCCCACAGGUGACCCUCAGACAUGUCUGCUUUGAUCCAUACUAAUUAGUAAAAAGAAAUAAAAAUUAGAGCCAACGCAUAAAUCAGAAGAUUUCACAUAUUUUGGAUCCUCCUCCUAUUUCUCUGAGCCCACAAAUAGUCUUAUAUCACCUCAAAACUAUGUCCCCGCAAUAUGGCUCAAUGUGCCACUUUGAGCUCACUGUUUCCAGGUCUGCUCGCACCUUACUGUGUGUGGAGCCAGAGACCAGGCAUCCCCUGGGCCCCGGCACCCCUCGGACUGUCUGUGACAAGGAUCAGUUUAAAAUUUUCCCAUUGACCACAGACCAAUACUUCUGUAAAAUACGAUAAAAAUGUAACACCAGAAAAUGAAAUUAAAAAGAUACACACUAUACAAGCUCCACUUAUUCUUAGU